GUAGGUGGCAAGCGUUGUCCGGAAUUAUUGGGCGUAAAGCGCGCGCAGGCGGUUCUUUAAGUCUGAUGUGAAAGCCCACGGCUCAACCGUGGAGGGUCAUUGGAAACUGGAGAACUUGAGUACAGAAGAGGAAAGCGGAAUUCCACGUGUAGCGGUGAAAUGUGUAGAGAUGUGGAGGAACACCAGUGGCGAAGGCGGCUUUCUGGUCUGUAACUGACGCUGAGGCGCGAAAGCGUGGGGAGCAAACAGGAUUAGAUACCCUGGUAGUCCACGCCGUAAACGAUGAGUGCUAAGUGUUAGGGGGUUUCCGCCCCCCUUAGUGCUGCAGCUAACGCAUUAAGCACUCCGCCUGGGAGUACGGCCGCAAGGCUG
rnacentral:rRNA from 1 species